rnacentral:lncRNA from 1 species
CUAUUUACAUUAUAUAUUUUAAAUAACAAUGUGAGUUUCCCGGUGGUACUGUUAUUGUAGAUAUUGCGGUAUAUGGUUCUUUUUUCACUUCAUCUCUAUCAAACCCUGUUGUAGCCAUUUCUGGAGGAGAAGUAGCUCAAGACUGGCCCUGUUCCAGAAAGCUCCUCAUUUGCAUAGAAGAGCAAAGCAGUGGUUUCCAUGGUAGCAGUUCAUAAGACACUGACCAGCUCUUCUGUCCGUUUUCUUCCACCUUCCUCACUUUGAUUUCCAACCGGAGCAGAGAGAAGGUGCGCACAUUCUUUCACUUCACUUUUCACCUCGCUUUGAGUCUGCAGUUUUGUUUUCUGGACCAUGUGAUGUAUUAAUAGCAUUAUCUUUCCUUGUUUCUUCCAACUCUGACAAUUUUCUGAUUAUAAAUUGCUUUUAAAAGGACUCCCUUCUCUUUUAG